ensembl:lncRNA
GUGUUGUAGUGUAGUGUAGUGUAAUGUAGUGUAGUGUAGUGUAGUGUAGUGUAGUGUAAUGUAGUGUAGUGUAGUGUAGUGUAGUGUAGUGUAGUGUAGUGUAAUGUAGUGUAGUGUAGUGUAGUGUAUUGUAGUGUAGUGUAGUGUAAUGUAGUGUAAUGUAGUGUAGUGUAGUGUAUGUAGUGUAGUGUAGUGUAGUGUAAUGUAGUGUAGUGUAGUGUAGUGUAGUGUAAUGUAGUGUAGUGUAGUGUAGUGUAGUGUAAUGUAGUGUAAUGUGUAGUGUAGUGUAGUGUAGUGUAGUGUAGUGUAGUGUAGUGUAGUGUAAUGUAAUGUAGUGUAAUGUAGUGUAGUGUAGUGUAAUGUAGUGUAAUGUAGUGUAAUGUAGUGUAGUGUAGUGUAGUGUAGUGUAAUGUAGUUGAAUGUAAUGUAGUGUAGUGUAGUGUAGGCCUCUGUUCUCAAAGUGUUGCUCUUUUUAUUUAUCAUUACUAAUGAUUCAAAAAUCAAUCACAGAAUUGAUUACUUUAUUUUAUGCGUUUAAAACUUUAAAAAGUGUCAUAGCAAAUAAUACGACAAAUAGCACGAAAGGUAAGUAAGUAACUAAACAAGUACCUAAAGUGACCACUAAAUAAAGAAAUAAGUAGUUAAGUAAGUAAGUAAGUAAAUACCUAAAAAUGACAAACAAAAAUAGGCAAAUAAAGUAAAUACCUGAAAUGGCAAACAAACAAACGAAUAGGCUAGUUAAAUAAGUAAGUACCUUAUGACAAACAAACAAACAACAAACAAACAAACAAACAAAUAGGUACCUGACGUGACCAAAAGAUAUAUUCAUAAAUAAAUAAAUAGCCUAAAUAACUAUAUCAAUAAUAUGACAAAUAAAUGACAAGUAAAUAAAUAAACAAAAUAACUGAAUAAUUAGGUACCUGAAGUGACCAAUAACAAAACGAAUAAAUAAAUAAAUAAAUAAAUAAAGUAAGUAAGUAAAUAAUACCAUAUUUUGACCGAAUGAAAAAUAUUAAAUAUGAAAACUUAUAAAAUGCGAAAU